CCUACGGGAGGCAGCAGUGGGGAAUAUUGCACAAUGGGGGAAACCCUGAUGCAGCGACGCCGCGUGAAUGAAGAAGUAUUUCGGUAUGUAAAGCUCUAUCAGCAGGGAAGAAAAUGACGGUACCUGAUCAAGAAGCCCCGGCUAACUACGUGCCAGCAGCCGCGGUAAUACGUAGGGGGCAGGCGUUAUCCGGAUUUACUGGGUGUAAAGGGAGCGUAGGCGGCAGGACAAGUUCGGAGUGAACUGCCGGGGCUUAACCCCGGAACUGCGUUUGAAACUGUGCAGCUCGAGUGCAGGAGAGGUAAGUGGAAUUCCUGGUGUAGCGGUGAAAUGCGUAGAUAUUAGGAGGAACACCAGUGGCGAAGGCGGCUUACUGGACUGUAACUGACGUUGAGGCUCGAAAGCGUGGGGAGCAAACAGGAUUAGAUACCCCUGUAGUC
rnacentral:rRNA from 1 species